CCUCCUCUCGCUCCGCUCUCUCUCCUGCCCAAGCAAUGGUCGCCCCCCCCCCCCCCCCCCCCCAAUUCUCUUCUUCCCGCAGGUGACGGCCUCCCCCGCGCACUCUCUGCUGUCGUGCCCGCCGCCGCCCGGCACGCGGGCCGCUGCCGUCGCCGCAUCGUUGUCCUGCGGUCGCCAUCCUCUCGCACUCGCCGCCGCAUCCGCCAACGAGGAGGCCGGGACCACCGGAUCCGGUGACUCCGGCCUCCUCGCCGGCAGAUCCGGCCACUCUGAGGCGAGGGGGUCUCGCCCCGCUGUCGCCGCCGCCCGCUCUCUUCGCAGCGCCGUGGCUGCCGUCCGGUCUGCUCGCUACGCCGUUGCCAUCGCCCGCUCGAAGGGGAUGCCGUCGAUGCCUGCUUUCCUCGCAGCGCCGUCAUUGCCUCCCGCUCUCCUUGCUACGCCGGCGCCGGCGCCCGCUCGUCGGGGAGGUCGUGGGUGCCGGAUCCGACAGCCACGGUGUCCCCGCCGGCCGAUCUGGUCACCCGGAGUCGACGGCAAGCGGUACCACAGCAGGCUCAUCGCGGUGAGCUCCACACGGAAAGUUCCACUCUCCAGCACUCGGUUUGGUGGUGGCCAGAAGGGGAUUGUCACGAUUGAGCGGAACAAUGUGUGGAUCCGCAUCUCAGUCUCUACAUCCCGACAACGCAUCCAACAUCAGCCAUCGACAAGAUUCCUUUGCUAGAUCGCAAACUAGCCGAUCUAGAGGUGUGGUGCCGGAAAUUAUGUUAGAGGUGACAGUGGCCAGCGACAAGGUCAACCUGGCGGUGUAGAAGUCUGUCUCGAGGACAACGCGCUCAUUGCGGCCAUGGGUGGCCAUCGGCACUGCUUCUCCAUGCAGGCAUGCACCAACAACACUGGCAUCCUUCCGGCACAAUGCACAAAUCUGUCUAUGCUUCCAGCUGCAGCUACAUGUCCCUGCAACCUGCAUAUUUGCAUAGUCCAGGCACUCUGCAAGAUUGUCUGACCAAAAUGGAAGAGGUCAGUGUUGCAACCCACCACUAUAGUUUCUUGAUUUUCUAUUGAUGCCUGCUGUCUAAUGUUAACAUUGCAGGGGAAAAAUAUAUUCUUUUCCUUUUCCUGUAAUGCACUUGGCUAAGAAAAUUGGCGGACAGUUAAGCUGCUAAUGCUUCUUUGCUCAUGCUCCUUGAUCAGAACAUAAAUGGUGAGUGAUAAAAAUUGUAUUGUCCCUCCAUACAGAUAUUAGAGCAGUUUCCCCCAUUUUUCCAUUCAUGUAUGGUUUCGUUCCCCCUUGAUCAGUCAACUACAGGACUGCUCUUGGGUGACUGAAACUGAUUUCACUUUAGUUAUUUUGGAGCAAAUAUUUUUCUAGAACAAAUUGUUUUACUUUGAUUAUACUCCAUCCCACUUCUAAGUAACAUCUCACCACACUUUAUUAUGUGAGCAAGCAUAUAUAAACCAUGUGUGCAACCGUACCUCUGACAUGCGUGUUUUUUCUUGUCUGCGGGUUAGUUGAAGAUACACAUGAGAAGGGCUUGAUUAGGCCUGGUGUUAUGGUGCUGAAUUGUUGAUUGAAAAAGCCGGUGAUAAUGUUGGUACCUUUUGGUAUUAGUUGCUAUUAAAGAAAGGUUGCAGGUUUCUUGCUAUUAUGCCGGCUUAAUACUCACUUCACAGGCAGAUACUACUGAGGUUUUUUUAUGCUAAGUAACAUUGACAGGUGAUAACCAGGAUCCCACCUCUUAGAAAUUGUUAGAGACUUAAAAUGCACUUAAAUGCCUCAUUCAGUUUUUAUUUAAUAGAUAUGUUUCUGGGGAAUGGACCAAAUUAAUUUUGUGCCUUUCUUGUGCUUAAUUUUUUAUUACAUAUUAUGCUAAACUAAUUACUACUCUUUCCGUUACAUUUUAAGAAUCCUCUGACGAGUGUUAAGUAGUGCAUGCUUUAAUUUUCUAUAGAUUGUUUAGGUGUUUUGAGUGUAUGAUUAACAAAGUGGAACAACUCAUGAAUGUCAUGCCUAAUUAUCGUUGUUAACCAGGCAACAAACUCAACAAAUCCAGGGGCACUCUUAAAAUGAUCUGGUAGAAAUCCCCACCUUAAACCCUUAAUACUCUAGAAAUCACCGCUAUCUUUUACAUCUAUUGCCCUUAUUUUGCUUAUUCCAAACAUGACUUUGCUUCAUGUUCAUUUUCUGAAAGUGUCAGCACCUGACAUUUGGAAGCGCAUAACUAACAAAGUGGGCAUGGUGUAACAAUUUCUAGAACAAGAGGCACCACUCAUAGGGCAAUGCAGUACAUGUGUGCUGAUAGCAGUUGUAGGGAGAAAACAAAUUUAUGAAGAGGCAUGUUUAUUGUUGACAAUAAGGGACCAAUUGAAAGGGUAGUAGUGCUGCUGCCACCUCCGUACCUCAACUUCUCAGUCAUGCCAGAACAUAAACUUUGCUUGCAGAUUGUAUUUCAAUGCUUAGAAUACCAAAAUACAAGUAACACUUAGCAUAUUUUGCUAUUACAAACUAAUAUGGAAUGACUAACUACGUUUUUUGUUUGUUCCUUAAAUUUUGCUUGUGAUAGGAAAAAAGGGGGAUUUUCAUUUUUGCUCUGCUAUAUUAGUUUUCUUUUACCAGCAUGCUUGCUUAUUAAAAUUUGGUGUACAUCUUCGUUUAUCUAGGCAUAUAAAUUUGAUCAUUUCAUGUCUACCUGUGUUUGCUCUUAAGUCAUGAUGCAUCAAUGGGGCUCAACAGUUCAUCAGUGCUAAUUACCAGAGAGGAUAAUGAAAUAAAGAUCCGCAAUCACUUAUUUGGAUGCAUCAAGCUAACAAGUCUUUCCUGCAGCAAAAUACUAUGCUCAAAUCAGUGUCUUAAUUAUAGGCUGGCUGAUUGGGCCCAGGAACUUGGGAUCUUCAUAGAACUAUCAUUCUAUUUCAUUGCGUACAUUAGCCCUCAUACCAUGGAAACAGUCAUUCAAUUCCACUUGUACCAUUAUACAUGACAACAGAGCACUUAUUUCCUCCCUAUACUAUCAACAAAAACAACCAGAAAAGCAAAUUCUUCUAGCUGUGUAUUCACUUUUCCAUUUCUGAUGCCAUGGGUCUUAUUCCGUAUAAAAAAGCAUCAGUACAGCUUGAAGACCA